GCUGGUUGCUGCAGUUAGAGAUCAGCGACCAUCUAUUUUACAAUCAUUUUGGGGUGUUAUAAUGUCUCUAAGUGUUGAGGCGAAAGCAAAGAUUAUUUCUGAUUUCGGCUAUGAUGCC
rnacentral:ncRNA from 1 species